GCAUGAUGAAGCUCAGCCUAGUAAUUUAGGUUUGAGCACUGAAACCCUAUAGACAAGGUUCCGUGGAUGUCAGGGCACAGUGUCUCUAGACUCAGGGAUAUGGAUAUGACCUCUGACCAUGUGAUCAGUUCAUUCCUUGGAGGAGCCCAGAAAACCUUCUUCUUAAGAAAGGAAUCCCAGGAGACCUCGCUGUGAAUCUUCCUGCUAGAAAAGCUUAGCACUUUUAGAAGAAUUGCAUCUUUUGACAUCUGACUUGGAAGGACUUGGUUUAAAGAAGUGAAAUUAGAGCCCACACCGCACUUUCGACGGUAAAGGCUGACACUCAGCAGAGAAGUAGCUGCAGCUGCAGGCCACUUCCCGCAGAAUGGGAACAUCAUAAGGUCAUGUCUGCGGCUCCCUGCUCUACCGGGAACACAAAGCAGAGAUUCUUUUGAGCCUGGUUUUCGCACUGGGCAAAAAGACGACAGGGAAAAUGAGUUAAUGGUGUCAAGGAAAAAGCAGCGGAGAGGAGGACGACGAUGGCGCCGGCACAAGCCGUGGAAGAGAACGCGGUCAGGAGAUGGAGCAGGGCUCACCGCACUGAAGAAAACGAGUCUGUGAAGAACAGUGUGUUAAAACAGAGAGAGAAGGACAGGUGUGGGAACACAGCACUGAAAACAUACACAUGUGUUAGCCUCCUAACAAGGAGAACGGAGCUGGGCACCAGCAGGAGACGUUCAGGUUAGAGGUCAAGGGCAUUCUUCAUGGUAGAAGACCACAGCAAUGGAUUGAAAGGUGCUCUGAAGAACAGCCAGAUUUGCAUCAGUUUUCCCUCCACUCUCCUAGCUAAUCUAUGAAUUCCAGAUGCAAUUUCACUAUUCAAGGGCUCCUGGGUCCGGCGUCUCUUUCUCAGAGGAGAGCCAUUUAAAAGCUCCAGCUUCUUGAUGACUAUACAAAAAUGAGAGUGGGAGCAACAGCUGACACCCCCCCACACACGUGUGGUCACAGGGUUCACCAUGGCUAUCCGGUUAGCUCUGGUCAGCAUUCGUCCAUGCUGACCCUACGACACCUGCGCUCGCUUGGACAGCGCAUGCAGACUCAGUGUCCAAAUCCCAUCUCUCCCGCUCCAUCCCAUUCAGUGCUGCCUGACCUAGAAUGCCAGCUGCAGGCUAUAGAAGCCAGUGCACAUCUCCUGUGUUUCCCCAUCCACUCCUUUAUUUCUGACCACCCACAUGAACCCGUCUAUACCCUGUAGAGGAUCUUCUUCUGACUGCUCUGGGCCCUUACCUUUGAGACUGAAAGUGAAUUCAUUUUCUCUUUCUGACUCCUCUUGUAAGAUUAAUGACGUCCCCUGGGAUGAGGUCUUCAUGAACUGCAUCCUCACUCGAGGCCCAGUCUCUUUAGGGCCAACAUGUCACAUCCAUAUACUUACCCCAGUGUCAAGAAAGAUCAUAGUUUCUUCACAAAAUGCCUAAUUUGCUUCUGCCUGGGAGCACAGAGUGUAGCUAUUUAGAUGAACUGAUGAGCCUUCAA